CUGCUCAGGACGAACGCUGGCGGCGUGCCUAAUACAUGCAAGUCGAGCGGAACCAGAGGAGCUUGCUCCUUCUGGUUUAGCGGCGGACGGGUGAGUAACACGUGGGCAACCUGCCCUGCAGAUCGGGAUAACUCCGGGAAACCGGUGCUAAUACCGAAUAGUUUGCGGCCUCUCCUGAGGCUGCACGGAAAGACGGUUUCGGCUGUCACUGCAGGAUGGGCCCGCGGCGCAUUAGCUAGUUGGUGGGGUAAUGGCCUACCAAGGCGACGAUGCGUAGCCGACCUGAGAGGGUGAUCGGCCACACUGGGACUGAGACACGGCCCAGACUCCUACGGGAGGCAGCAGUAGGGAAUCUUCCGCAAUGGACGAAAGUCUGACGGAGCAACGCCGCGUGAGUGACGAAGGUUUUCGGAUCGUAAAACUCUGUUGUGAGGGAAGAACAAGUACCAACUAACUACUGGUACCUUGACGGUACCUCACCAGAAAGCCACGGCUAACUACGUGCCAGCAGCCGCGGUAAUACGUAGGUGGCAAGCGUUGUCCGGAAUUAUUGGGCGUAAAGCGCGCGCAGGCGGUCCUUUAAGUCUGAUGUGAAAGCCCACGGCUCAACCGUGGAGGGUCAUUGGAAACUGGAGGACUUGAGUGCAGAAGAGGAAAGUGGAAUUCCAUGUGUAGCGGUGAAAUGCGUAGAGAUGUGGAGGAACACCAGUGGCGGAAGGCGACUUUCUGGUCUGUAACUGA
rnacentral:rRNA from 1 species